UUGAAACCCAGGGAUUAGAUACCCUGUUACUCUUUAAUUUUAAGUGAAUAGUACCGGGGUAUUAAACAGUUAUUGUCUUGAAACUCAAAGGAUUUGGCGGUAAUUUAGUCUAUUUAGAGGAACCUGUCUUAUAAUCGAUAAACCACGUAAAAUCUUGCCUUAUUUUGUAGGUUCAGUUUGUAUACCGUCAUUAUUAGGCAACUUUAAUAAAAUUUAGUUGUUGUAAUAGUUUUUAAUUAAUAUAUUAGAUCAAGGUGCAGCUCAUAAUAAGGUAGAGGUGGGUUACAAUGUGAUGUCUUUAGACGGAUUAAAAAAGUAUGUGUUUUUAUGAAGGUGGAUUUAAUAGUAGGGGAGUUUAAUAUGUUUUUCGAUUUUAGCUCUAGGUUAUGUACAUA
rnacentral:rRNA from 1 species